rnacentral:tRNA from 1 species
GGGGAUUUAGCUUAGUGGUAGAGCGCUUGCCUAGCAAGCGCAAGGCCCUGGGUUCGGUCCCCAGCCCCG